rnacentral:SRP_RNA from 1 species
GUUGGGCACAGUAGCUCAUGCCUGUAAUCCCAGCACUUUGGGAGGCCGAGAUGGGUGGAUCACAAGGUCAGGAGAUCGAGACCAUCCUGGCUAACACGGCGAAACCCCAUCUCNNNNNNNNNNAUUUUUUAGUAGAGAUGGGGUUUCGCCGUGUUAGCCAGGAUGGUCUCGAUCUCCUGACCUUGUGAUCCACCCAUCUCGGC